AUGAAAGAUGUGUUUUGAAAAUGCCACGUGACUACCGUCCUCCUCCCUCCCGGAUCAGUCCGCAUGUUCACGGUGCAUUUUUUAUGGAAUAUGUUGAGCAAACCUGGAGAAGCGUCAGCUCAAGAUAUUAUUGUUGUCAUUGCUGUGGAUCUUUACCUGAUACACUGACUUGGCUCGGGACCAGCACUCCUGUUGUUGGACAGAAAGACAUCAACUCAGUGACUUGAGAUAUGACUGCACUAUGCUGUUGCUGGUGACCACAGUUAAUUCUACAAGACAUGCUGUGACACCAGGAGAGACGAGUCCUCCGUCACAGAUGGUGUGGUCAGUGAAGCUGGUCGCCUGCAGGUUCAAGCUCAUUGCAUCUCCAACCCACAUCCACUGCCACUGUACUUAAGGGAAGUUAAAGACUUUCUUCUGCACUUACAUUUGGAUCACCUCGAUCCAUGACAGUCAUUCAGGCAGUAAUGCCUGGACUGGAAACAAGCAUCCUUAAAAUAAUACAACAUUCCAGCUCCUGUGUUGGAAUGAAAAACAAAUGUGUUGUUUAAAUUAGAGACUGCACUUGUGACAGAACAAUAAAUAUUUUAUUUUGAUUAUAUAAGUAAUGUAAGUACAAAACAAACUGUGG
ensembl:lncRNA